GCUGAGCACAGUUCUGACAGAGGGGAGCUGAUAUGGCCCUUUCUUGGGGAGAAGAGUCUGGGGCACCCUCUGAGAUUCUGUAUGUAUCUCCCUGAGACUUUAUCACUGUUCAGGCGGAGCCAGUGAUGAGUCCCUUUGUGGGUAUAUGCAUAAUUCUUCUCUGAGGGAACAAGAGCAAAAGGCAAAAGGACUGCAGCUCCUGUCACACAGGGUGGCUCCUGGAGGGUGUGUUCCAGUACAAUGAAUGAAUAAGUCAAGAAAGAGGAGAACUUGAGUCCAAGAAGCAAAGACAGGGCAAGGAGGCUUUUUCCACAACCAUCGAAGGCUACUCUGAUUUGCAAUUAGCAGGAUAAACUGAAGAUAACACCUUGCAGAAGCAGAUCUCAAUUAACAACUGAUGGAAGUCUGUUUCUAGGACUUUGGGAGAAAGACA
rnacentral:lncRNA from 10 species